GACAGAGGGUGCAAACGUUGUUCGGAAUUACUGGGCGUAAAGCGCGUGUAGGCUGCUCUGCAAGUCGGAUGUGAAAGCCCUGGGCUCAACCUAGGAAGUGCACUCGAAACUGCAGAGCUUGAGUCCUGGAGAGGAAGGCGGAAUUCUCGGUGUAGAGGUGAAAUUCGUAGAUAUCGAGAGGCACACCGGUGGCGAAGGCGGCCUUCUGGACAGUGACUGACGCUGAGACGCGAAAGCGUGGGGAGCAAACAGG
rnacentral:rRNA from 1 species